rnacentral:piRNA from 1 species
UGGUCUGCUAAAUGGAUUCCUCCCUCAC